UACGUAGGUGGCAAGCGUUGUCCGGAUUUACUGGGCGUAAAGAGCGCGCAGGCGGUCGUUCAAGUCGCGUGUGAAAACCCCCGGCUCAACUGGGGAGGGUCACGCGAUACUGAUCGACUCGAAGGCAGGAGAGGGAAGUGGAAUUCCCGGUGUAGUGGUGAAAUGCGUAGAUAUCGGGAGGAACACCGAUGGCGAAGGCAGGUCUCUGGGCAUUAACUGACGCUGAGGAGCGAAAGCAUGGGGAGCGAACAGG
rnacentral:rRNA from 1 species